rnacentral:pre_miRNA from 1 species
AGAGGAAUUGCCCCGGAACCAUGUUAAAAUGUAGAUUCUGAUUCAGUAGGUCUGGAGUGGGGCCAAGAUUCUGCAUCUCUAACAAGAUUCCAGGUGAUUAGAAU